AAUGACUCUAAGGAUGCUGAAGCUAGGAGUCCUGUGUCGAUAUGUACAACACAGUUAUGAACAAAGGGGCUAACUGAAUUAACCAUCCAGAGUAGCCUAUCCACCCGCUCAUUUACUUAAUAUACUUCACUACAACCCCUUAGAUCCUGUUCCUCAUGUUUGAAUCACCUGCCUAGACUCUCAAGCAGACUAGCUUGUCCCAGCACUUCUAACACUGCAG